rnacentral:lncRNA from 10 species
GGGGCAGAGCGCACACAGCUUUGUUCCUGCACCCGCCCUCAGAGCUUUGCCACCUGUUUUCAGGCUGCCUCUGCCUCCAAACCCUGCGGAGCCCUCCCUGCCCCGUGCUUUGAAGCAGUUUCUUUGGAAGCUGCUGCACAGGGGUUAACAACAAGCAACAACUCAGGUCGCAUUCUUGUCAACGGAAGGGAGGGCCAGGUGGAACCGCCAAGGGGGCCAUUUCUGGCUUUGCUGGAGGCUGUCAGCUUCUGGUGGGAGCCACAGCCUGAGGGCAGCCAGGAUGGCUCUGCUGGGAGGGACACCCUGCCCAACCCUGGGAGCAGGUGACGAAGGCUCCUGGAGGCAUGGUCACAUCCCUGGGUCCCAGAGGCAGGAACAAAGCCCCCAGGGCAGAUGGGGAAACUGAGGACCCAGAGGAAGCAAGAGCAGCCCCAGGCCACACAACCCUCUUUUUAUUAUUCAUUCACUGACUACACUGCAGAGGUUGGACCCAUAUCUCAUUAUUUGAAUAGUAAAUUGUUUUUUCUUCCUGACCCUUGGUCUGUUGGGUCUCUCAUUGCGCCAUGCAUCCAAGAAAGAACGUUCUGAAGCUUUCCAGUGCCACCCAAUCCCUGUAUCCUACUUUAUGCUUGAAAGUAAAGCUCACGGGUUUUUUUCUACUUCGGGUUGUUUAAA